GAUGGAGCUGUUGUAAUACCCCAUGUUUAGAUAGGGUAUAAUAGGGUAUAUUAGUCCUUUAACAUAACUUAAACCCAAAAAAAUAACAUAAGAUGAAUUAGGGCCAACCCACUACUUAGCAGAAGAAAAAGGGAUUGGGGCAAAGUAAUGGAAUUCGGCAGAGGCAAACUCACAGGAGCGAUCAAAGGGAACGGCGAGGAUUGGACCAGCUAUGUUAGAAUUCACGGACAUAGAUUGGUUUUGUUACAAGUAGGUAGUUGAAGAAGUUGAACAAAGUGUUCGAGAUGGCGCAUUGGGUAUUCCUGCACGAGUACUAUUCGACGUGCGUGGAGGCCAAUUCGAGGGGCA